rnacentral:rRNA from 1 species
GACGUAGGGGGCCAGCGUUGCUCGGAAUUACUGGGCGUAAAGGGUCCGUAGGCGGUGCGGUAAGUCGGGAGUGAAAUCUCUGGGCUUAACUCAGAGGCUGCUUCCGAAACUACCGUGCUAGAGUGCGAGAGAGGCAAGUGGAAUUGCGGGUGUAGCGGUGAAAUGCGUAGAUAUCUGGAGGAAUACCGGUGGCGAAGGCGGCCCCCUGGACAAAGACUGACGCUCAGGUGCGAAAGCGUGGGGAGCAAACAGG